UAUUCCCCACUGCCCAUUGAGACAGCCUGUGUCCUUACUCCUUAGAGACCAAAGCAUACAGCACUCUUCUUAAAGACAAGGCGUUUGGAACUGUAGAUAUUGGAUUGGCCCCGACUUUUUACAGCCCAAAACCAUCUUGAAGUGUGGCUUCCAUGUAGUGAUUUCUUAUUUUCCUCUCUUUUCUAAAAUGUUUGUCCAAUUCUUAAGUGCUUUUCAGGCUCCCAUAAUAGCCCACCGUUUCUUUUCUGUCAGGGUUCGCUGUUUUUCACAAGCAGAUCAAGCCCGUCUGGAUGACCCUUCUAGGUGCCUAAAUUGAAACAUGACUCGUUCACCCUUUUCCAUUGACUUUCCAAAGCAAUGAGGGUAUGGAAGGGACUGCAGAGAUUUUUGAGAGUGAUGUUUUCCAUCUUCCCGCUGCCAGUUGAGAGGACAAAAUUCGAAAGAAAGUUACGUGGUAGGCUAUUCCUCGGAAGUUACUCAUGUCAGGCUUCUCGGAUACACAACUAUGCUGCGCGGCUGUCAGCGUUGCGGUCUCAUUCAACACUGGAGACUUUGGCGCCAUCCCUGCGGACACCACUUCUGCCGUAAGUGCAUGGAUCAGAUCAUAGAUGAUGGUUUCCGCGACAUCGAGGGCUUGGCUCAAGUCCCUGUCCACAGUGUAAAUCAGUUAUAGCCUAUUAAGUGUGUAAUCGUGACUGUAUGUUAGUGCCUUUUUCUGACUUUAUGUAACCUUUUCUUUUUCUAUGCACUUUGUAGUCCCUGCAUGUCUCUAUUGCCCAGGCAAUUCAACAGAACUAUGAUAUCAUCAAGACAAAGGACAAGCAAUACUACUUCACCACUUAUCUAGUCAGUCAGAUCAGAUUUUCAUUGUAAUCUUUUUGACAUUCUAUUCUAUGCAUUAAUGAGUGUGUGUAGUAUGACAAGGUUACAAUCAAUGACAUUAAUAUAUCUUAAUAUAACUAUCUAAAUUUAGCUGAUGCUAAACUCCAUCCAAUACAAACGACUAUUUAAGAAUAUUAACAACUCAGGUUCCUAGGCAAGGUGGGGGAGAAACGGAUUGCAUGUAAUCAUGUACAUUUAAUCUGAUUACAACAAAAAGUAGUUCCAGCUAAAAUUGUGUAAUCAGGUUACAGAUACUUUGAAAAACUAGAUGAUUACUCCUUGGAUUACUUGCUUGCGACAAAAUACAUUAACACUUUUCCUUUCAAUGACAUUCAAUUCAGCCUUGAAAAAAGGGCAAAUUUAGUUUGUUCCACCUGAGUCUGACCACAAAUUAGAGACCACUAUGAUGACACACCAAAUGCGUUUGAUGGAUCCUUUUUGGCUUCUAAUGCCUCUUAAGGGGAAAGUAAUUUAAAAGUAACUGAAAUUAAUAAGAUUACAUUACUGAGUAUGGUUAAUCCAAAAUUACUGAUUACAAUUUUGGACAGGUAACUAGUAACUGUAACGGAUUAUAUUUAGUAAGUAAACUACCCAACUCUGCUUAUAGGCUAUAUGAUAGAGUGGCCCAAAGGUCAGUAUAUCAAAACAACACUUCCCAUCAAAUUCUGCCCAGAAAUGUAUCUAAUUUCAACCCCAUAAUUUGAUCUUUAACCUUCAUUAAAUUACACAGCAGUACACAGUGUAUUAAUUUAAUCUGCAAUGUGCCCAUUUUUUAAAUUCUUUUUUACCUUUAUUUAACGAGGCAAGUCAGUUAAGAACAAAUUCUUAUCUUCAAUGACGGCCUAGGAACGGUGGGUUAACUGCCUGUUCAGGGGCAGAACGACAGAUUUGUACCUUGUCAGCUCGGGGGUUUGAACCCUAGUGGUAGCCUAGUGGGGAAAAUAAUCACAGACAAAAUGGCCACCUUUCAAGCCCUUUAUUGGUGAAAUUUCAGCAUAAUUUCAAGAUGAUGUCAAGAGAAGGAGUGAGCUGGACUUGACCCAGGUGAAACAGACAGAGUGGAGAUGGUUUUUCCUUUCUAUGGGGAUGUAACGUUAGCU